UACAGAGGGGGCAAGCGUUAUUCGGAAUUAUUGGGCGUAAAGGGCGCGUAGGCGGCCUGGCAAGUGGAUGGUGAAAUCCCUCGGCUUAACCGAGGAACUGCCAUCCAGACUGCUUGGCUUGAGACCGGGAGAGGUGAGUGGAAUUCCCAGUGUAGCGGUGAAAUGCGUAGAUAUUCGGAAGAACACCAGUGGCGAAGGCGACUUACUGGACACAUAUUGACGCUGAGGUGCGAAAGCGUGGGGAGCAAACAGG
rnacentral:rRNA from 1 species